rnacentral:rRNA from 1 species
ACCAUGCAAGUCGACGGCAGCAUACUCCAAGCUUGCUUGGAGUGAUGGCGAGUGGCGGACGGGUGAGUAAAGCAUAGGAAUCUACCUUGGAAUGGGGGAUAACUGAGGGAAACUUCAGCUAAAACCGCAUGAAGUCUACGGACCAAAGUGGGGGAUCGAAAGACCUCACGUUCUGAGAUGAGCCUAUGCCGGAUUAGCUAGUUGGUAGGGUAAAGGCCUACCAAGGCGAAGAUCCGUAGCUGGUCUGAGAGGAUGAUCGGCCACACUGGGACUGAGACACGGCCCAGACUCCUACGGGAGGCAGCAGUGGGGAAUAUUGGACAAUGGGGGCAACCCUGAUCCAGCAAUGCCGCGUGAGUGAAGAAGGCUUUCGGGUUGUAAAGCUCUUUAGUGGGGGAGAAAGGUGUAUGGCUUAAUACGUCAUACAAUUGAUGUUACCCCAAGAAUAAGCACCGGCUAACUCUGUGCCAGCAGCCGCGGUAAUACAGAGGGUGCAAGCGUUAAUCGGAAUGACUGGGCGUAAAGGGUGCGUAGGUGGUUUGUUAAGUGAAUUGUGAAAGCCCCGGGCUUAACCUGGGAACGGCAAUUCAUACUGAUAGACUAGAGUAGGUGAGAGGAGAGUGGAAUUUCCGGUAUAGCGGUGAAAUGCGUAGAGAUCGGAAAGAACACCAGUGGCGAAGGCGGCUCUCUGGUACCAUACUGACACUGAGGCACGAAAGCGUGGGGAUCAAACAGGAUUAGAUACCCUGGUAGUCCACGCUGUAAACGAUGAGAACUGGAUGAGGGUAAAUUUUAAAUUUAUCCCUUAUCGAAGCUAACGCGUUAAGUUCUCCCCCUGGGGAAGUACGGUCGCAAGAAUUAAAACCUCAAAAGGAAUUUGACGGGGGGCCCGCCCCAAGCCGGUGGAAUUAUGUGGGUUUAA